UACGGGGGGGGCAAGCGUUGUUCGGAAUUACUGGGCGUAAAGGGCUCGUAGGCGGCCAACUAAGUCAGACGUGAAAUCCCUCGGCUUAACCGGGGAACUGCGUCUGAUACUGGAUGGCUUGAGUUCGGGAGAGGGGUGCGGAAUUCCAGGUGUAGCGGUGAAAUGCGUAGAUAUCUGGAGGAACACCGGUGGCGAAGGCGGCAUCCUGGACCGACACUGACGCUGAUGAGCGAAAGCCAGGGGAGCAAACGGG
rnacentral:rRNA from 1 species